rnacentral:rRNA from 1 species
UACGUAGGGGGCGAGCGUUGUCCGGAUUUAUUGGGCGUAAAGCGCGCGUAGGCGGUGGGGUAAGUCGGCCGUGAAAUCUCCCAGCUCAACUGGGAGGGGUCGGGCGAGACUGCCGCACUCGAGGUGGGCAGAGGCCGGUAGAAUUCCGGGUGUAGUGGUGGAAUGCGUAGAGAUCCGGAGGAAUACCAGUGGCGAAGGCGGCCGGCUGGGCCUGGCCUGACGCUGAGGCGCGAAAGCGUGGGGAGCGAUCCG